CCUUUAUCAGGGGGAUAGCCUUUCGAAAGGAAGAUUAAUACCCCAUAAUAUAAUGAGUGGCAUCACUUAUUAUUGAAAACUCCGGUGGAUAGAGAUGGGCACGCGCAAGAUUAGAUAGUUGGUAGGGUAACGGCCUACCAAGUCAGUGAUCUUUAGGGGGCCUGAGAGGGUGAUCCCCCACACUGGUACUGAGACACGGACCAGACUCCUACGGGAGGCAGCAGUGAGGAAUAUUGGACAAUGGGUGAGAGCCUGAUCCAGCCAUCCCGCGUGAAGGACGACGGCCCUAUGGGUUGUAAACUUCUUUUGUAUAGGGAUAAACCUUUCCACGUGUGGAAAGCUGAAGGUACUAUACGAAUAAGCACCGGCUAACUCCGUGCCAGCAGCCGCGGUAAUACGGAGGGUGCAAGCGUUAUCCGGAUUUAUUGGGUUUAAAGGGUCCGUAGGCGGAUCUGUAAGUCAGUGGUGAAAUCUCAUAGCUUAACUAUGAAACUGCCAUUGAUACUGCAGGUCUUGAGUAAAGUAGAAGUGGCUGGAAUAAGUAGUGUAGCGGUGAAAUGCAUAGAUAUUACUUAGAACACCAAUUGCGAAGGCAGGUCACUAUGUUUUAACUGACGCUGAUGGACGAAAGCGUGGGGAGCGAACAGGAUUAGAUACCCUGGUAGUCCACGCCGUAAACGAUGCUAACUCGUUUUUGGGCUUUCGGGUUCAGAGACUAAGCGAAAGUGAUAAGUUAGCCACCUGGGGAGUACGUUCGCAAGAAUGAAACUCAAAGGAAUUGACGGGGGCCCGCACAAGCGGUGGAUUAUGUGGUUUAAUUCGAUGAUACGCGAGGAACCUUACCAAGGCUUAAAUGGGAAUUGACAGGUUUAGAAAUAGACUUUUCUUCGGACAAUUUUCAAGGUGCUGCAUGGUUGUCGUCAGCUCGUGCCGUGAGGUGUUAGGUUAAGUCCUGCAACGAGCGCAACCCCUGUCACUAGUUGCCAUCAUUCAGUUGGGGACUCUAGUGAGACUGCCUACGCAAGUAGAGAGGAAGGUGGGGAUGACGUCAAAUCAUCACGGCCCUUACGCCUUGGGCCACACACGUAAUACAAUGGCCGGUACAGAGGGCAGCUACCUAGCGAUAGGAUGCGAAUCUCGAAAGCCGGUCUCAGUUCGGAUUGGAGUCUGCAACUCGCCUCUAUGAAGCU
rnacentral:rRNA from 1 species